CUUGUGUCAUUUAGGGGGAAGUAAAAAGUCGUAAACAAAGGUUUCCGUAGGUGAACCCUGCGGAAGGAUCAUUAUUGAUGUUAUAAACCCGUCAUUUUCAGUGCUGGCUUUCUUGCAUGUGCACGUUGGGGCGGCAUUAUUCAUCUCACAACCCCCUUUGUGAACUCCUGGCCUUUGCUGGUUUCGACUGGCAGAGGAAUUUACACAAACUCGAAUGUAAUGAAAUGCUUGUUGUGCGUAAGCACUACUAUAUACAACUUUCAACAACGGAUCUCUUGGCUCUCGCAUCGAUGAAGAACGCAGCGAAAUGCGAUAAGUAAUGUGAAUUGCAGAAUUCAGUGAAUCAUCGAAUCUUUGAACGCACCUUGCACCCUUUGGUCUUCCAAAAGGGUAUGCUCGUUUGAGUGUCAUUGUACUCUCACACUCCUCUCUUAUUGAGAGGAGUAGUGGACUUGGAUGUUGCCCGCUUCAAUGUCAGGCUCAUCUCAAAUCGCUUAGUGUAACUCUAGAUUGGACAUAAGUAACAUGUUUACUACACAGCGUGAUAAGUAUCCUCGCUAGUGUGCCUCCCAAGCGCGGGAGGGUGUCUAAUGGACGGGCUCUGCGCUUCAAACCGUCUUUUGACAAAUCUCUGACAAGUUGGUCUCAAAUCGAGUAGGAUUACCCGCUGAACUUAAGCAUAUCAAUAAGCGGAGGA
rnacentral:rRNA from 1 species